GGACCAUCCUGCUCGAAGAGGUAAGCAACUGUCAGGGUUUGGUUGGAGCUCGCUCAAUUGGCCGUCGAAGGUCACCAAAAGUAUUCCCUCCUCAUUGCUACCACCUCCGCUCCAUUUCCACAUCUCUUCAGGAGACGUCGCAAGGAUUUCGUGUUCCUUUGUCGCUGGCCAACAAAGAACAAGUUGAGGAGGAUGAUGAAGGCUUAGAGUCCGAGGUGUUCGAGCAAGGCCAAUCGGGCUCGUCCGACCGGUCAACCGAGUUCGAACGCGGCUAGCGGGCAACUUCGAGAACCCACCAGGUCUCAGGAUUCUUCUGCGCCCGAUUCCUGUUGUCCGGCGAAAAAAAUACGGAUCCACGCGGCGCGAGCAAAUUCUACAAUGCGCCACGGCCGGAGAUCUGCCUUCGAUGCUCGAGGAGCGCUCUUCCGCUGCUCGAACACCCGGAAACCAGCGCGGGAACACGAGGAUGGAUUGGUCAGGAAGUUGUUUAUCGUAACGGCGAGGUCUCGAGUUCUUUGGAAUUGAAACGUGACGUUAAAGGGUCUCCCAAAAGGCACAUCAGAACUUUUUGAUUAUUGGAAGCUGUUUACUGGGGGACACUUGAAUUUUCAGGUUUAACUUUAGUUGAGCGUACGUUUAACACGUUGACUGCCAGACAAAUCUGCUAGGAUUAAAUAUUAUUCGUGGUAUUUAUUUUUGUAAGUUCAUAAAAACUCAUGAAUUUCAUUUAAAUUUAUUUCCUUGGAUGCUCGACUAUCAUAAUUAAUUUUUUUAAUUGUUCGGUAAAAAGCACUGUUAUCCAUACACGGGUGACGUGGCGAUCAACGUGUUAAAAUGAAAGAAGUGUAUUAACCCUUUGCACUCGAGAGGUGACUCUCAGUCACCUCUAGGUUUUCGUUAGGUUUAAUUUCUUUGGAACUCAAAGUGCCAAUAAAAUGAUUGUCAUUGAGACAAAGGUGACCUCAUUCUGAAAUCUCAAAUUAGAGAUAUCAUUAUCGAAGUCAAUAUAAUCUUAGCAUUCGUGCCAAUAGAAUGCUAAGAAAGCAUCUCAAGCUGCUGGUAGAUACUAGAAAGAAAGGCCUUGAGUGCAAAGGGUUAACCCUUAGAACAAUUUAAACAACUUUGACAGCUGACGUUUACUUUUUUAACUUUUGUUCAAAAGAACGUUAUACAAUGGUAACAUACAUACAGCCAAAUAUUAAAAACGAGCUAAUUGCAAGUGUACAAUUCGAUUUAAAGGUUCGGUAUCAAAUUUGAAACUUAGGGCAUUUAAGGGGUUGAAACAAUUGCUGUGCCAACGAUUUGGGUAAUCAGUGGAAAUCGACAUGUUUAUUGUAUAACAUUAUCGCUAAAUUAGUCAAUCUUUAAUUUAAAGUAUUUUCAUUUAUUUUCAUUUCUAUAAAAUUGUUUCUCUCGGGAAACACCAAUUUGACCGACUACCACACAUGCUCCUCCAAGUGUGAAAAUGUUUCUAUUCGACAAAUGUAAUGUUUAUUUCUUCCCAUAGCAACCUUUCGACCAUUUAUCUUUUCUCUUCGAGGACAAUAAUGAUUAUACUUUCAAGCGCUGUCCUUCUGUGUGAAAUCAAUCUACGUUUUCCGCCGAUGAUAUAGUAAUCAAAGGGUACCAGAGGGAGAAGCGUCAAAGUUCGGAAUCGCGGGAAACGCGAGUAAUCGAAGCAAAAUGGCCGUCGUUCACGGCGUACGUGUGCAAUCUCUUUUUAAAUAAUGCGAGAUCGAGGCAUGAAUCAAGUACAACGGUGGAGGUGAGGCGAAGGAAGAGGCAGGGACGAGAAACAAAGGACUCUCCUCGGCCCAAAAACUGCUCGAGCGAUCGAUACAUGGUCAUACAUUGAUACUCGAUACAUUGCCGGAGAAGCUGACGGAGAGGAAGUUGCAAUCAAUGCUUCCGGCUCGAGCCACGUUACACGUUGGGGGAACCACUUUUUCCCUUGUACAAUAUGCCAGAAUUCAGUUGGUUAAAUAAAUAAAACAAAGUAGGUUCUCAGCUAGAGAUAACCGACACGACGGCAGGAACAUCUCCAUCUUUUAGGGAGGAUCGUUUUUAAAUUAAAAAGAAAAAAGAAGAAAAAAGAAAAUGUAGUUAUAACUAGGCUGUAUAAUAUUCAACGCUUUUAAUCACGUGUUAGUGGUGAUUUUUAGAGCAAAUAAUUCUAAACAAGCUAGGAAUAUGUAUAUCGCAGGGAAACGAUAAAAGAUUUGAUUUGAUCAAAUCUCUAUUUUUAUCAUUUCCCUGCGACAUGUACACAAAUCAUUUAUAGGGCGAUAGGAAAUAUUAAAGUAAUCUUUAUCAGUGGUAAAAGCAGGACACGUUCUUUAUUAGGUGAAUAAUAAUAGUAAUACUUUCUAUUAGAUAAAAUGUUAAAAUAUUCAUCGUUAGAAAAAAUAAUGAAAUAUACUUCUUAGCAGACGUAAUAAAAAAAGCGAGGAACAUAGAAUCGAUCCACCCAUAACUUAUUUUUCUCAAGCUACUAAGCCCCGCUCGAGUGUCGGCAGAAUUUUCGACGGAAAUUUUGUACACGGGCGAUAUUUUCUUCUAACGCGUAGAAAUAAUUUAACGACACGUCGUUAAGCUUUCGUUUCCGCCCGUCCCAUGGAACGAAGGGAGGCCGGGGUUGUCAUUAGCGGAACGCGAUAUUUUAAGCAGGCACUUUAAACCCGAGGGGAAAAACGCGAGAAAUUACAAAACGCGUGCGUGAAGUAACACGCCUCGACGCGAUGUUUUCAUUCUCCGAAACGAUGCACGAAGGAGCACGAGAAAUCGGCGUCAAGGAUACGAAAAAUUAAAAAAUAUAACUUUUUCUUUUCGAUGGGAAAACGGCACAUAUCGAAGACGCGAACGGUAUUCAGAAUUCAGUAAUUGAGAAACUCGCUCGUUUCCGCGAGCUUGUAUGUAUGUUUUAUGUUGUUUUGAAUUUCAACUUUUCACGCGAAUGUUUCUUUCUGUUUUGAGCCGCAACGUCGUUAGCGAGCGCAAAAUAUAUUCAGCGUUUUCUCUG